rfam:Ceriporiopsis subvermispora B unplaced genomic scaffold CERSTscaffold_5, whole genome shotgun sequence.
GUCACUUUGCCGGAGUGGUUAACGGGUUCGCCUGCUAAGCGGAUGGUCUUUGACCGCGAGUGUUCGAAUCGCUCAGGUGACG